GUGAUAUUAUAAUUUCGUAUUCAUUCUUACCAUCCAACCAAAGUGGUGUCCAGAAUUCGCCGUCGAAUAUAUGACAAAGCAGACAACGGCUAAAAUAUUAUUGUUUGUGAAAGCCACUGCUAUUAGAAAUAUCGCUGGUAUAACAUACUCUGUAAGAGAAACGAUUAUAUUUUGAAAUAAUUUAAAUAUUAAAAAGUUGUUCGAUUGAAUGGCUAUAAUGUCUACAGAAAAUUAUUUUCGAAUUAUUAUGACAGCGGAUAGCCAAGAUUUGGCUAAUUCAUAUAAUUUAGCAGGAUAGGAUUUGGCGUGAACUAAGUGAGGCGUACAUAUUACAUUGCCUUCGUUAAUCUCUUAAAUGAUUUCAAUGUUUGAGCUCGUCUUUAUAGAUAGCGGCAACGAAUUCCAAAGGCGACAGGCUUUGACAGUGCAAGAUUUAGAGUGAAAGGAUGAAGAAUGAUAAUAAUAUAUUAAUAUAUCUUUAGGGUGAGGUUGUCACUAGAGCGGAGAGGACUCAGAAAUUUGACCCGUUUUUGUCAGGUAGGAAGGUGUUAGAGGAUUAAAUAGGAUUGAAUAUAGGAGAAAAAGAAUGUGAGUAUUCCUGCGAAGUCGGAUGGGUAGUCACUUGAGCUGUUUGUCAAGUUCUAAGACGUGGUCUUAUUUAUGUAAACUUAAUAUGAAACAGAAAU
rnacentral:misc_RNA from 1 species